UACAGAGGUCUCAAGCGUUGUUCGGAUUCAUUGGGCGUAAAGGGUGCGUAGGUGGCGCUGUAAGUCGGGUGUGAAAUUUCGGAGCUUAACUCCGAAACUGCAUUCGAUACUGCGGUGCUUGAGGACUGGAGAGGAGACUGGAAUUCAUGGUGUAGCAGUGAAAUGCGUAGAGAUCAUGAGUAAGACCAGUGGCGAAGGCGGGUCUCUGGACAGUUCCUGACACUGAGGCACGAAGGCCAGGGGAGCAAACGGG
rnacentral:rRNA from 1 species